ACACCCUUUCAGAAUGCAUUUUCAUACAGUUAUGAACAGAGUACAUUAGAUUAUCAUAUUUAUUGGUCAAAUAAUUACCAGUUAUGACUUCUUAUAUCUACUGUGUAUGAGGAACUGUGCUAAGCAAAGGUUAAUAUAUGAGCCAUCAGGAGAGACAUAAAUCACAAAAAAUCUACAUGAAGCAAGAAGCACAAGAUGCUGUGUCUGAACAAAUAUAAUCUCUGUCUUCUAUAGUCUUUUAGCCCAGUACAUAGAUAAUACAGACAAAUAUAUUUGUAUUGGGUGAGUGGGAGGAGGUAGAAGAUAACUUCAAAAGAGAUUUCUCUCUUAUAUAAAAGCAUAUUUGUUAUGAAAACUUUCAGAAAUCCAGAUUUAACCUUUGUUUUAUUCCCUGGGGAAGGGA
rnacentral:lncRNA from 1 species